AUGGCCUUGGUUGGUGCAGGGAUGAGUUUGUUGUGGGUUCCUAAACAUUCGCUGGGUCAGCCUGCGUAUAGCCAUAAGGGCAAAUGUAUUUUGGUUAUAGUUUGCUGAAUGCCUUGGACCCGAAAUCAGCGGGUGCCAUGGUUGAAGCUAUCCAAGCUGAUGGGAAUCCAACGUGGUUGGAGCAAAUACAUGACCGUUUUCUUCAUCCUACCGAU
rnacentral:lncRNA from 1 species